UGGUCUGAACAGUUUGUUUUUCUCUAUUUUGUGACCUUUUUCCAGUAUAGUGAUUAAAAAAACCCCAAACUGAAUGUAUCAUUAAUAUUUCCUGUAUCUUUAGAUUGACACUUGGUAUACUGUUGUGAUUACAGGUACUAAUACACUAUAGUUGCAAGUUAUCCUAUUCAUUCUGAAUUCCUGUUGUACUGAACCAGGAUGACCAGGAACUACAGACUGUUCUGCAGACAUUGUUCUGUCUGUAAUGUCAGUAAAGGAGCUCAAAGCACAGACAUAAAUGUUUCAGAGAGCAGACAAAUAGACAUGGGUGCUGUAGCAGGCGUGCUAGAUAUAUCUGUAGGUAUCUCCAGGCACCCAGGGUCAUUCAUACCCUGCGGAAGUAGAAAAGGCACAGGAACAGCUGAGCAAAAGUAAGGAGUACCUCAAGAAGUUAAGUCAGUAAGAGCUCUUCAUGUUGUAAAAAAGAUGACUGAGUAAAAACAAUUGAGAUAUAUGGAAUCAUGAACAGCACUAACUUGAUGAAAAGAAAGCUAUUUACUAUUACUUCUAACGCAACCACUAGAAUACAGAAAUGAAAUUAUCAAGCAACAAGCUUAAAGGAGAAAGUGUAUUUUCACACUACAUGUAAUUAAACUGUGUAACUGUUAUGAAGCUGGAACUGUAAACGAAUUCAUUUAAUUUAUUCAAUGAGAAUUUUUUUCAUGAAGAAACUAAAAUCCAUGCAUGACUACUAAUACUGAAAUAUGCACAGAAAUUCCAGAUUGGGAAAUUCCUAAUCUGCAGAUUACUAGAAAUUGGGAGCAGGCCACUCGCCUCAUCCUGUCCCUACCCUGCCCAGUGUUUUCCCAGACAUACACUACUGUGCACUCUGUCAGAAAUUGGACAAAUAGGUGCCUCAAUUCAUGGUACGACACACCGGGCUACAGGGAGGCUUUAUGGCAUUUGCACUGUCACAUUGUGUCUCAGUGGUCCAGUUCACCAAGAAAAGAUGGUCAAACAAAUCUCCCAAGCUGUGCUUAGAUUUUGCUGGGCCAUCUGUUUCAACCUAACAACCUGGGAAAGACUUUUACCACAGUGAGAAACAUAAUUCCUGUCUUAUCAGCUGCAUUUUUGGUGCUGAACAGGUCCUGAGGCUGACCCUAGCCCUAAACCAGAUUAGCACUUAAAUCCAUGAAUCUGGACUUCCUAAUCCAGGAGUACUUUGCUGUUGUUAAAUUUAAAACAGAAAUCCUGCUAGUUUGUCUGUGUCCUACCAUGUUCGGAGAUGAGUUAGGGUUUUUUUUUUUCCCAACCAGUUUUACUAGUACUAAGGAAAUACUGAUAGAUCAUUACUUGCUGGGCUCGUGCUGCAACCUGUUUUUAACUUAGGUACGCUUGCUCUACUUUUCUAGCAUAGUAGCUAAUUUUAAUGAGAUUGCCUAUUUUUGACAACAGUUCAGCUGCUUCAUUCUUAAACACUUUCUGAAUCUUAGAUAUAUACCAUCUGGUCUUAAAGACUUGUUACUCUUUCAUUUAUCUGUUUCCUUCAGCGUCUGUUCUUCUGACACCUCAAUCUCUCAUAGAGCUUCAUUUUUAUUACCUGAAAGUACUGAUACAGCAUGGCUCAUUGCCACCUGUGCAGUAAGCUACAUAAUUAUUUUUAGUAAUUAUCAGGUCAGCCUAUAUAAGCUAACAGCUACUUAGUUUGUAUUCAAAACCAAGCUAGAAACCUAAACAAAAAAGCACCAGCCAGUACUCGUUCACUUGAAAUCUGCCAAUUCAGAAUUUUGCAGCAAUGUUAUGCAAAAAAGGGUGCUUUUUUUUUUAACCUCUGAACUCCCUCAAUAACAUGCCCCCAAAGAUGCAAGAAACAUAUACCUUUGCAUGUAAGUAGAACUAAAAGGGUCAAACCUUUUAAUUAAUACAGUAUUAAUACAAACAUAAUUACAUUGAUCUGUAGCUGCUGCGAUUGGUUUCUGCAUGCCAGUGAUCCUUUCCUUCUUACUUAAGUCCUGAGUUGCAAAGGCAAGGCAACACAAACGACAUUUCAGAAGACUGUAAGGGAUCUUGGAAGAUUUUUUUUCCCUUCCCAAAGAAAAUGUGAUGCAGAUUUAGGUAUCUUUAUACUUUGUAAUGAAACGCUGAAGACUUGGAGAAAUUGUAUUACAACUUUACUGAGGUGUAUGGUGUUUGAAAACACAAAAGCCCUUAAAAGUUGUGUUUAAAACAUUUUCUAGAAGAGGAUAAAAUAGAUCUUUUCACAAAUAAAACAAAAAUAUAUUGUUUAAUACAGAGAAUUGGUACUAAAACUUCACUUGAGUAUCAGCUAAUGUUAGAAAAUAUACUUAUUUCAAUUAAUGAAGACAUACGGUCUUCAUUUAUGUUUAUGAAAGUUUAUGAAAAGAUCUUUUCUGGUACUCUGUUAGUAGGAAUAGAACAAAAAAAUGAUAUACAAGAUGGCUACCAAUUUCUUAAAAAAUACAUUUAAUUGCCCAAUAACUGCAAAUCCUCUUUUCAUAUAGCUUAUUAUUUCAGAUGCCUGAUCUUCCACACAACCAAAACCCAGGAGAUAUGCAGGGCAUGAACAUAAAAUACUAAUUAGGACCUUUGUUAAACAAAAGCUUUUCAGUUUCUCACCAGAUAGAAACGCACAGCAUCAUCUACAAGCAAAGCUGAAUCCCUUCAGUGGUUUUAUUAACUGUUGCAUUAUAAACUGGUAACAAACCAGAACCUGGGCAUUAAAUAAAUACAUGAAAAUCGGACAGUAUAAGGCUGAGGAUACAAUGUUCCAGUACUGAAGAAGCUAAGAAAAACUCUUUAUUGACUUCAACAAGCUCUAGAUCUGAUCUUUGGCCUACGCUAUGCAAGUAAGUACAUAUAAAUUAUACAGUCUAAGUACACAGUACAGUAUCUGUCGUAAUUAUAUUUAUGCUAUCAGUUUGAGUUAUUGAACAAAUAAGGGAUCAGAUUGUACGCAAAGCCCCCAGGCUCAUCUUACUCUGUCCGCAGCGAGAAUUUUCCUGAAUGUGAUACCCGGGCUCAGAAUUAAUAUUGCUAACUCUGAUUCGAUGUUGCAUUAGUGUUCUUCUUGAAGCCUCAGAUACUCUAAGAAGUCAGAUGUUAUGAAAUACUAAUCUGUAACACAGCAUGUUUCUCCCUAUUGUGGGCUCCCUGAAAGCCCUGAAUAUGGAAAUGAGGCACUUAAAAGGCAAACAGUGCAUCCAUGGUGUGCCAGAGAUUUUGUUUCUUGGUUUUUUUUUUGCUGUCUGGUUUGAAAGCCAUCCUGAGAGCUUUCCUAGAGACAAUGCAGAUUUUCAGUUUUCAGAUAUUCUUAUGAUGAUAAAGCCAUGAUGAAGUCAGAAGAAGAAGGAGAUUCACAGAAAUAUGCAAUUUUAUAUCUUUACCAGUGUCUUUCAAUGGAAAUAUGACAUCACUACUGCUAGUGGUAACUGAUACCAGAAACCAAGCUUUUUUGAGUAUGUAAGAUGUUUUUGUUAUCUCUUACAAAAGUACAGACUUUGCCUGUUUAUUACAAAGUCUGUUUCUAAAUUUUGUUUCUAACAAAAUCACUAAUUGUGUAAAUAAAAACACCUUAAAAUUGACUAACAAGUUGUGAUGUUUAAAUUAUCAUACAUAGCCAAAUCUAUAACAGGAAUCUGUAUCUAUUUUCUUUCUUUUAAUUGCCAUCAGUUUCAGAAAUAACAAAUGCCUCUCACAUCUCUCUUCUUACCCACCUUACAGAAGUGACAACCUCUGAAGCUGCCAACAUAGUUGCUUUAAGGGAAGGUAUAUGUGCAAUUUUGCAUAACAGGAAAAAGAUAUUAAGCUUCCUGACACAUUUUGUGUAAGCUUUUCAAAUAUAGUAAGCUAAAAAACAAAAUCUCAGCCCUUGACCUGUUGAGUGUUAACAAAAUUCCAUCUGGUCACUUAGGAGCUGUGCCAACAUUACCACACAAAGAGUCUUUGAGCCAUUUGAAUGUUCAAGAGUCAUUUGACAGCUUUUUUAUUUAUCCCUUUUUUUUUUUUGUCAGAUACACACCUAAUAAUGUACUACAGAUGGCUAGGUUCUAACAAGUUUACUUGCAUGUAAGCUUGAAACUACCCUUGAAAGUAAACUGCUGAGUUUUUGCUUUGGGUUGUUGCUUGGGUUUAUGUAUUUUUUCUAACAUUUAGGAUUGUUCAGUCUACUGCUGCUCCCAUUUCCUUUUUAGGCAAAACAAAAGUGAAAGCGAAGACCUGGUGCAUGGCUGUUCUAAAAAUGUGAACAUAAGACUGCUCAGCCUGCUCAAGGCCAACGGAAUGGGAGUAGGUAGUGAAAAUGUCACAGUAGGCAGCAAGUUAAAGAAAUGACCUGUGACAGAUACCUUCAUGGGGGAAACAAAUUUCACUCUGAAGUGAGAGAGAUUUCAGCUACAGAUGAGUACUGCACUCAGUAUGCAUUAAGCAUGUAUCUUUUAGUGCCAAAAUCGGUUAUAGAAUUAUUCCUUAAUCACUGUGCUACAAUAUGUGCAUUUAAUAAUGAUAAAUAAAUUCUGCAUUGUAACUUAUAUUCAAAUUUAUGUUGGAAAAACAAAACUGGCUUGAGAAAAAAAAAAGUAAAUAAACAGAAAUGUUGAGCCACCUGAUCUAGCUUCAGAGUUAGCCCUGCUUGACCUCCCAUAUCCCUAAUGAUCUGCUUUUUCAUGUGAUGCUCUGAGUCCAUCUGGUAAGGUUGUACGCACCACACAUACACAACACUGAGCUGCCUGGCCUGGUAUACAGACUUCAAUGCAAAACAGCCAGUAAAAUAAUCAUAGCAAUAGCUGAAUGGUUGAGGAGGAUUCAAAACAUUGCAAGACUGGCAGAUUUAAUCUAGGCCAUCCAUCUGAGCGCCAUAUCCAGUCAAGGGACAAGUAAAGCAAUACUCAGUGCUCCACCAAACUCUUAGCUAGAAAAUCACUGGUCUGGGAUUUGAGAAAGAGAGAGUGAGACAAAAACCUAUUUUAGUUAUAAGAAGUGAAUUAGUAACACUCAUUCCUAUCCCUCAACACCUUUUAACUUAAUCAAGCACAAACUCUUUAAAUCAGUGGGAUCAAUUUAUGUCUUAAAUCUCUGUAGGAUAAGGAUCCAGAAAGGCCUGAUUCUGCCACUAGUUAGAUGUGAGCAACUUUUUCAUUCUUACUGGAGUAUUUUUGUAAGUUGUCUUCCACACAUGCAUAAACAGUUGGAGGUCCUAAUAUAAAUGAAAUGCAAAAGGGAAUAGGACUUGUAAAAGUGUAGAAUAUUUUUACUGUUGUUUUAAUUAAUUUGUGGCCAAUUGAAAAAAAAAAAACAGUUUUGGAAAGCAUUUGCAUAAGAUCUUCACUUUUGACAUUCUUUUCAGCCUUUGGCUGUGGAUUUAAGUAGAUCUACCUACUCCAAAUUUCUUCUGAGCCAUCAGACAGAUGAUUAGGACACAAAGAAUAUUCUGCUACAGAAAAUAACAUAGCCUGAGAAGUGGUAAAACAGUGACUAAUCUAGGAAAUGCUCUGAGGCUUUAAGGAAAAUCUAUUAAAGACCGAAUGGCAGGGCAUUAUGAUCUUUCUACAUAUUCUAUAAUUACUCGGCACUACAUUUUUAGAGAUAUCCUGACAUCUUAAGAUGAAGUUGUUGUUGAAAAUUAACAAUUAAUGUAAUCUCCUUCGGUACUCUUGGUCAGAGAUCUUAAAUUUUAAUCUAUUAAUACCAUUUCUUUGUUUUGCUGUUGUCCUUUCGCAUGUGAUUACUGGAUACAAACUGCACUAGCCUACAAAUGCUUGCCAUCCUAGAGGAAAGUCUGGACCCUGAGCAUUUUUCUGAACAGCAGGCUCCAUGAUAAACCUCUCUGAUACCUGACAGAACCUGGAACUAGAAACUGAAAGACUGAGGGUUCACACAAAGCACAUUAGCAAAAGCCUCAACAAGGAGAGUAAAUAUUUAGCCUGCUGAAGUUUUAAAGGCCACUUUGUAUCCUGUUCUUCUACACUUUAUGUAGAUACGUAAUAUUAUAUAUCUCACCGGUAAAAUAAAGCAUAAACAGAGAAUGUCAGAAAAGAGAUUAGUUAAACUGCUCCUAAAAUAAAAGAUAAUAAGGCAUUUCACUGUGCAGCUUCACUCCUGUAAGUUCCUGGAAGUUUUUCUAAAAAUUGAUCUAUUUAUGCUAUUGUCCCUUGACAGUAUGUUAGAAAGACAGAGUUUGCAAAUUUAAUAGGUGACGCCAAAAACCUCUAUUUACAAACAUCUUACAAUUGAAAAUCCGUGUGGUGUUAAGUGCCCAUCUGUAUUUUCCAAUUAAGUUACUCUUGGUAAAACACUUUUGGCCCAAGAAAAGAAUGGACAUAAGAAUGAAUAGCCUUUCCUCUUGAAAACCCAAUUGUUAAAACCUCUAAUUCAAAAAUUUCUUUUAAAUACAGAAGGUCUGAUAAAAUGUGAUUGUUUCUUCAUGCCUUGGAGAAAAAGGAUCUUAAUAUUUUCUAAAGUUAAUGAAGAAUACAAAGGAAAAUAAGUCAAUCUUGGAAAGUGCUGGCUAUAGGCUGGUGAGAUGGUGUGACGCCAUUAGUGGCGUGAUGCAAUUCAGUGGUUUAGCACAAAUUAUUGGCUAAGAUGGCCUCAAAUAAACAAUGCGUACUUGCAGGCAGACUGUGGUGCCCACAUAUUGGAAAUGGAAGACUGGGGCCCUGAGUCAUUUACAACUGGCUUUUGAAUGUUCAGAAUUCGAUAUCAUUCAUCGAGAAGCUUUUAGGGCCAAAAUGUACUCUAGAGUUUGUUUUUAAAGGUAUCACAUAUCGCCUUAAACCUGGUGUAACCAAGAUUAAUAGACAUCUGUGGUUAAUCCCACUGGCGAUAAAUAUUUACCUAUUAAUACAGUCAUUUGUUCUCACUCAGGAAUGCAUAGGAUAUACAGCAUCAAUAAAGCACUGCACUGAUAGGAUCAACUCAGAUACCCUCUAGAGGAAAAGGAUUCAACUGAGUUUUCAUGUAAGGCUGACACAAACGUGAAGAUGAAUCAGAUGGCAAAACUAAAAUGGUGAGCAAAAUGCUGAAUAUAGCAGACUUAAAAGAAAUAUUUCCACAAAACCCACUAGUAUUCUGCGUGAUUACUGCAGUUAUAAGUGAUUGUUAACCUUUGCACAGCAUUUAAGAGCUUUAUUUAGUAAAAAUUACACAACAGUGACAGAGCAGUAAACAUGAGACUGAUGUUCUGAGGCUGCACAUUAAGGCACGUGUGCACAGCUGGGUAAAUCAUCAUCCAAAUGUUAUAAGCAUCAAGGAUUAUUUCAAACCAUUUCAAUGAACAUUUGAUUGAGUGAGAAGAUGCUGUACGUAUCCACUGAAAAUAUGGUUUUGGAGCAAGACAAUCUGACAGUGCAAAUCAGGAAAAAUAAAUCUCUGAAAGAAAAGGCUUACACAUGCCUUAAAUCUCAUGACUCUUAAUUAAGUUAUUAACUCUCCAUUCCAGCUAAUCAGCUGUAUUUAGCCAAUACCCCAAAAAUAAGUGAAAUACUCAUAAGACACGUCUGUAAGAAGCUCAGUUAAAAAAAAAAGGCAACCAAGAUUUUUUUCUUUCCCUCAAAGAAAUAUAUUUUUAAAAGACAAAAGAUUUCUGCAAAAUGCCACUUCUUGUGUUAAAUUGCAAGUAAUUUGUUGCCCCCACAAGCAGGAUCUGAGUGUAUUGCAGAGAAGUGGAGUAGCGCUGUGUUUCACUGCAUAAUAACCAUCCCUUAAACUAAGCAAGGAGCUACUGACAGCACCUGGAAGGAAGCAGGCUCUCUGUGCGAUCUGCAGGCCUCAGGAAGGAAGGGCAGAGCUUAAAGGAGAUAAAAAACACAAACAGGUCCUUGCUAUAUGUUUCACAAGGAAUGCGAAGUUCUUUGGCAACUGGAUACAUAAUAUCAUAGAACGGCUUGGGUUGGAAGGGACCUCAAAGAUCAUCUAGUUCCAAUCCCCCUGCCACGGACAGGGUUGUCAACCAGUAGAUCAGAGUGCCCAGGAUCCCAUCCAACCUGGCCUUGAGUGCCUCCAGAGAUGGGGCAACCACAACUUUUCUGAGCAGCCUGUGCCAGUGCCUCAAAGCUGCAAAUGCUAUGGCCCUCAAAUGAAGAACAUCCGGUACCACUCCAAAGAUACUUGUUUAUUCCUCUGAUGACCAAGCAUGUCUUGACUAACCCUUAAAUUGCAGGAGAAAAAAAUGAAAUUAAAUUUAUAGACAGAGAUGACUCUAGGAAGCCUACUUCCAAUGAUCGCAUUCACCUGUCACCAAAUUCUGGAGAAAUUUAACCUUCAGCCCAAAUCCACAAUUCUUCUCAUCGUCUCAGGAUAUGGCUCCAUAGCCAAUUCCACGCAUUAGCCUGAUAGGGAUCUCUAAGAAGCAAGUCCUCUUGGCCCCAUGGCACAAUGUGCCCCAUGCUCACAGACCACAAAGGAAAUAUUAGUGAAAAUACUAGCAUCCAAAAGAAAGUAAAUGACACCAAACUGAAAGUGCAUUUUACACAUUAACAUAAACACUAAAAAAAAAAACAAAUUCAAUGCUGUCCUCUUCACACAAUUUCACAGAAGCAUAGCAAGAUCCUGGAUGUUUCAUGGCAGAGCUCUGAGUUCAGGCAGAGAAAAGGACUGGACUACUCUCCCCUUUUUUUUUCUUUUCAUAGAUGUAUGACUCAAAAGACUACUGAGGCUUGCAGCCCAUCUCAAGGAAGGUGAAGGAGGUAAGGCCUCCGCCUUCAUUCAUGUUUGAAAAGGAGGAGUAACAAAGGCUCAGGCUUUCAUUGAAAAGAUGCAGGCACCCAUCUCUCAAAUAACUCCAUGCCCUUGGCCUGAGGUGGAAAUAAUGCUGAAUAGAAAGUGGUAUGCAUGUUAAUUAUGAGUGUCUUCCUGCUGAGCUUGGUAGUUGAUCCUAUUCUGAAAUCUGCAGGCAGUGUUUAGAGAGCCAAAACACCUGCCUUGGAUUUCUGAAUGCCAUACUGGGAACCAGCACCUAAAAUCCAGAGCAUAUGUGUAAUGCAGUCUAUCCCUACCCACGAGUCUACAGAAAAAUGUCUAUGGCCGUAUUUCCCAAUAUCUGUGUUAUUUUAUGCUACUUUCAAAGAACACUUCAGAGCACUGCAUCCCUAUUAAAUGCAGUUUUGCUGUUAGACUGCUCUACAGUGUCAGUAAACUACCCAAAACAGACACUUAAAGGACUGAGCUACUGAUGGACUGCCAAUCUUUUUACCAUUAGGGCUGAGAGAUACAGUGCUAGUUCAGAAAGCAAAGAAGCAGAGAACAGAAGUCAAAACCCAGCAAGACUGAGAGGCAGAGGUGAUUUCCUGACCAGUUCCCGCAUGUCACAAGGAUUUCUGCAUAACUCAGUGUACUGAGGAGUUACCUACACACUGCCUGACAGUCAAGAGACACAUAGGAAGCUUUGCAACAGUCAGUCAGUUGUCAGAAAAACUCCAACAAUGUGUCCUAGCCCCUCCUCCUGGAGGCAUCUCGCAGCAACAUCAGGGACCGACACAGUCUUCUCUAUAGCAUAUGUUUACAAUGCUUGUGUGGAGGGAAUUCCACUUGGUCAGCAUAUAUAAUUCCCACUGAUGCCAGCCAGUGCUGGAACAGUGCAAAGAGAUGACAGCUGAAGGAACAAUCUUUCCUAAUAAGUUCUCCAAUUAUGGUUUUUUUUUUUUUUUUUUUUUGGUCAAUUACAACUGGUCCCUUGAAAGCAGAAGAAAGGAAAAGUGGAGAAAAGAAUAUUUCAGAAGUUGUCACGUUAUAUGGGUAAAGCUUACAGACAUAGUUCAUGGAGUAAACGUGUAGAUUUGCGCAUGUGCCAAAAGCUGCUGUCAUUUUUAACUACCACUGACAUGCUGAGGUCUUAAUGAAAUGAGAGGAAAAGACCAGGAUGCUUCUGUAUCAGCAGGCAUAAAUCAGUGAUGCUUUGUUGCUAGCCAUACUUCAUUUACUUCCAGAAGCUGCUUAUACUAAAAAAAAACCCCAAACCUAUACAUUAUCAGUUUUAAUAUCCUUCCUCUCCAUUUUACUACCACACAAAAGCCUCAUAUAGAAAGUUAUUGUGGUAAUAUUAAUUAAUACAGCCAGCAAUUGAUCCUUAAAGCAAUACUUAUCAGGAAAAUUGCUAAUGUUUCAGCUACAAGAGAAUUUUUUUUCUCCUUUCUCCAUUCUCACUUGAAUAGGCAGUUAGGCAUAGAGUAGUAGUUUGGUAGCUGCUGGUAAUUUUAAAUCCCCUAUAUAUACAGCAGAUAACAUGGCAUGCAUAGCUCCUUCUAUUUCUCAUCUAGAUGGCUGGCCUUCUCAGACUGAACACUCCCCUAUUCUUUGUCAGCACUUCCCAUCUGUAAUCUUAGUUUGAAUGCUCCAAAGAAAAGCUUACAUGAAGACCCAGAAAGAGAGAAAUAACAACCUCUACCAGCACUGAAGAAUCUACACUAUCCCAGGAAAAGCGUGCCCUGUGCACUGCCACUCUUUUAUAGUGAAGCUUGUCUUCCCUGUGUGUAGAAUGCACUGUGAUAAUACCUUGAAAUAGUUCAGUCUAUGCCCCACUGGAGAAGUAUUAAAUGCCACUGUCAAAAUGAAUUAUUCCCUCAUCUAGUUGAGCAAAAGCUAUGAUCAUCCUAUUCAGGUCUACACUGUGCUGCAGAGGAAUAAAAAUAGUGGUAGAUACUAACAGAUAAUGCUACUAGUGUAGACUCAUCUGUCUUGAAAAAGCCUUCUUUUGUUCCAGCUUGAUAAAAAAAAAUAUUACCUAAGCUUAACAUAAAACAAAACCACAGGUAAAAGCAAAAUGUGUUGAGUAAAUGAACCUAAGUUAGCCAGGGGCUUUCACCUCUACAGUUAAGCCAAGUAUGCGCCAGGAUUUGUGCUAUGACUAAACUGGAAGAGUCAGGAGAACUUCAAAGUAUGUGUUCUGGCUCAUAUCCCACAUGAGGGAAAGUCAAGUUAUGUACUCCCCCCUGUUAUCCAGAAAGAAAAGUGGGGAUGUAGGCAAUAUUGGAACUGUGGCAUGCUGAGUAAGGCUCUCAGUAGGAUGACUGGAGAUCUGGACUCAAUGGUUUCCCAUGAAUUGCUACUGCAAGUCAUUCUCUGCACAUCUCACCAGUUAAGUAAGUAAAGAAGCACAGAAAAAGCUGACGUCCCAUUUAGACUACACUGAGAAUCCAUAUUUCAUCAUUAGUGUUAUUCUGCAGACUUAAGUCGGUUGGGUGUCUACAAAUCAAGAUCUGUCAUCCUCUACUCACUUGAAUUAAGUGAUUACCAAUAAUUCACGUUCACUUGCAACUGCAGAUGCUAGUCUAACAAAUACUCCCAAACAAUUUUUUCAAGUAUGUAAUCAUUUUUCUGUUAUUCUAGAGCCACAAAUAAGAAGUGUUUAUCAUUGCUUUACUUCACAGUAUAAAAAAAUCAAAUGUGAGCUCUAUUUGGGCUGGAAAAAUUGCAGAUUUUAAGUGUGGGUUUUUUGUUUGAAAACAGUAUAGCAUGAAGGUAGACAUGCAUUUGAACAGUGGUGAUCUUUUGCAGACAAUGCUAAAUCAGGGAAUCAUCUGACACAGCAAAUAGCAAAAAGACUAUGGAGGCUUCAAGAUGUAGCUACAUAGAGUCAUAGUCGACCCGGUUAGAGCACUGGCCUUCUUCAAAAUCCUUACUGCCCUUCUUCAAAAUCCUUCCAAAUGACACCUCUGUUUUCCUUCUACGAAUCCGUGAAUCCGUUCAAGUUUCAGCUCAAACACUUCCACUGUUUCUACUACAGGCUUCCUAACAGAGCAUCCAAGUAGGACAUCCUUAUUAUAGACAAGCACCCUUUUGUUCUACAGUGUUGGGCUCAGUCACAGAUAAGAGAGCAUUCAUAUAUCUCAAAGAAUCCUUCACUAAACUCCAUCCUCCACCUGAAGAUUCGCGUUUGUGGAAUGACUACUGCCUGAAAACAUUAAAACAUUGUACCUGGCCACAAUGUGCUUGUGACAGAGCAUGCAGGUUGUGGUUUUGGAGCUUAAAAGAUGAGGACUGACCAAAGAAAAGGGCUAUUCAUCAGGAAACUGAGGCAUGACAUCAGCAACUGAAAAGUAAAAACCUGUAAUUGUUCUUAUAAAAAUAGAAGUAUAGCAUACGUCGUCUCAAGUACUCAGUGUUAUCUACCAGGAGCACUUCAGCAACUUGUCUCACAAAGGCAAGAGAUGACCGUUGUUGAAACUGUGCCAUUCUGUGUACAUGACUUUAAAAACUCUAUAAGUACAAGCAACAAAAGUGACAAUUUUGGGAAGAACCGAUAUUAAUGAGAGGAAGCCGCUGUCCUCUAGGAGGAAAUGACUGCCUUGAGGGUCACUUCAGAGGAAUACACACUUGGGGCUGAAGUGGCAGCAGAGAGAUUUCUAUACAGCAAAGAUAAUGCAGAUCCAUAUAUACGCAAAUAUUUUUAGUGGCAGAAAUCUUUUGACUGGAAAUAAAAUAUAUUUACUUGGCUUUCCAUUUUACAUCACCAGUAUACAGAUCAGCUAAUACUAAACCUCCAUUUUUGAACACAGAAUAAAGCAUAUGCUUAACUGUAAGGCAUUUCUGCACUCUGCUACAAAUGCCUGUUUGUUGAGCAUGAUUUAUGGAAUGUAGUGCAAGCCAUAGGAAGAACAAAUUAAACACUGCAAAUAUUCAUCCUCACUUUAAUUCUAGUGAUUUGCAGCUGUUACGUGAUGUAGUACCCAAAGAAUGCUAUGAGCAGAAUGGGGGAAGCUAUUGCAUUGACUGUAUGAGAUUGAACAUAGAUCUUCAACAGCGGAGAGCAUUGUUAGCUGCUAGCCAAGGUGAAACUAAUUUCAGUCUCUGCUCCUUGGAGCAACAAGAGCUGCUGCAGAGGCUGUAGAGUUUGCCUGGAUUCUAAGGGCAAGGCUGUCAGAUCCCGAUUUGCGAAGGAGUGGGGAAACAAAGGCUCCUCUUGUAUUUUCACAAGCAACCUCUGGUCAGUUACAGACAGGUGACAACAGAUUCUGUAGAAAAAUUAUUUCAGUCUUCCUGGAAAUGUUAUAAUGACUCUUACUUAUACAGCAAGCUGGAGCAGAUCCUCAAGCUGUUUUCGAACUUGUCUGCAGCUGAGAUGUAGUCUCAUCUAAAACAGAGCCCUGCACAUUCUGCAUUUCUGAAGAGGUUUUAGCUAACACUGUGAAGUUUUUAUUUUUGAGAGCCAAAAUAGAGUUGGUCACAUCUGUAUGUUGACCAGAACACUCAGAUUAGCAGCCAGACUUUGUGAACAGGGACAGGAAAUAUAUUCUCACUAAAUCCCGGCAUCCUGAUGCAUGAAAAGAGACCUUUGCUACACUGCUAGAGUUGUUCCUUAUUCUGAGCAAACCUGACAGCCUGACCCUGGCAGCUUCUAUCUGCAACCGUUCUCCAGAAGUUCUCCAUCACUUUAAAGGAAGCAAACAAGUAUUACCGCCAUUCCAGGACCAGGAAAACUGAGGCACUGCAAGUGCUUCUUCCCAUGGAAACUUCUAGUUGAAAGGGAAAGAUGUGCCUGAUCUGCAAAAAGAAACUAACCGGUGCACCUGAGGCUGCAGGAAGUGCUGAUCUCAAUGUCCUGAGCCGAAGUCAGGCACCCUGCCUGCGAAGCACACAGCUCCUCGCCCCCGGGAUCCACAGCCCAGAGCGCGGUGCCACGCAGGCCGGCGGGGCCGCCCCUGCCCCAGCGCCCGCACUGCAGCCAGCUGUGGGGGGAACCUCUGAUGGUGGCCGCCGUGCAAAGAGGAGGAGGUGGGGAAGCGAGGAGAAACCCAGCGAGCGCUUUGUAAAGGCAAUCAAACGCUGCGCUCCCUGGGUUCACGCGGGGUUCGCUGGAAGCUCCAUCCAAGCGGUGAUCGGUGCGAAACUACUUAAUUUACAACAUUAAGAGAGAAAAAAGAGGCAGAGGUAACAUGGCUGCAUUCGGAGGCUUGACUAACGCUCUUCCUCACAGCCGGAGCAAUACGAAGAUCCUUACGUCUUUCUCAAACAGCGGACAGGGACCGCAGCGCAACCUUCCCAACGCGUUACCCCGACCGCCUCCGUGUCACGCCAGCAGCGGUCGGCGAGAGGUCCCGGGGCCGCCUUACGUAACUCCGUGCCCCGAGCCGCCCUCGGCACGCGGGCAGGCAGCCCCUCCUUGCCCUCCCCGUGCGGAUCGGGGCGGCCCGGCCUGCGCGGAGCCGGGGCGCCGCGGAAACUUUGCGCCCCGAGCCCCGCAGCCGGCGGGGAAGUUGCGCCGAGCUCGGGCGGCGGCCUCUGGGGGCAGAGGGGCGGCAGCGGGGGCUGCGCAG